rnacentral:rRNA from 1 species
UACGGAGGGUGCGAGCGUUGUCCGGAAUCACUGGGCGUAAAGGGCGCGUAGGCGGCGCGGAUAGUCGGCGGUGAAAGCCCGGAGCUCAACUCCGGGUCGGCCGUCGAUACUUCCGGGCUUGAGCACUGUAGAGGCAGAUGGAAUUCCGGGGUGUAGCGGUGGAAUGCGUAGAGAUCCGGAAGAACACCGGUGGCGAAGGCGGUCUGCUGGGCAGUUGCUGACGCUGGA